GUGAGGAAUCUUCCACAAUGGGCGCAAGCCUGAUGGAGCGACACCGCGUGAAGGAUGAAGCCUUUAUUGGUGUAAACUUCUUUUCUGUGGGAAGAUAAUGACGGUACCACAGGAAUAAGGGGCGGCAAACUAUGUGCCAGCAGCCGCGGUAAUACAUAGGCCCCAAGCGUUAUCCGGAAUUACUGGGCGUAAAGAGUUCGUAGGCGGAGAAACAAGUCAGAUGUUAAAUGUAUGGGCUCAACCCAUUACUUGCAUCCGAAACUGUUUCCCUAGAAUUAGGGAGAGGUAAGCAGAACUGUAUGAGUAGGGGUGCAAUCCGUUGAUACAUACAAGAAUACCAAAAGCGAAGGCAGCUUACUGGAACUAUAUUGACGCUGAGGAACGAAAGCGUGGGGAGCGAAAAGGAUUAGAUACCCUGGUAGUCC
rnacentral:rRNA from 1 species